rnacentral:lncRNA from 1 species
AGGGGUAAUCUACACUCUAACGAAGAAGAAACUAGCUUUGAUAUGUGAGGUGAGUGAAGUCUCAACAAACUAUCAUGGACACAAAAAUACAGACUCAAGAUCUAACAAGAAGUUCAAGAAGAACUGGCAAGAAUUAGAUUAAUCAGAUGAAUACAAGAACAACACCUGAGAGGUGAGCUAGAGCUCUAAGAGAUGUGUUG